CGAAAGCCUGACGGAGCAACGCCGCGUGGGGGAAGAAGGUUCUUGGAUUGUAAACCCCUUUUCUCAGGGAAGAAGUUCUGACGGUAUCUGAGGAAUCAGCCUCGGCUAACUCCGUGCCAGCAGCCGCGGUAAUACGGAGGAGGCAAGCGUUAUCCGGAAUCAUUGGGCGUAAAGCGUUCGUAGGCGGCUGUUCAAGUCUGCUGUCAAAGCACGGGGCUUAACUCCGUUAAGGCAGUGGAAACUGAAUGGCUAGAGUGCCGUAGGGGUAGAGGGAAUUCCCGGUGUAGCGGUGAAAUGCGUAGAGAUUGGGAAGAACACCGGUGGCGAAAGCGCUCUACUGGGUCGCACCUGACCCUCAGGGACGAAAGCUAAGGUAGCG
rnacentral:rRNA from 1 species